rnacentral:lncRNA from 1 species
UUACAAAUGGAUGCCACGACAAAACUACUCCUGUGGAUAUUGUGACAAAUCACCGUCAAGUACGUUUCAAAUCAAUUAUAAACUGUUAAAUAUAUAUACCGUUAAUUCCGUUAACUUGGAUUCCACGUUUAUUCAACAAAUACGAACUGUAAUUGUUUAUUUCUAUGAAUUGAACUGAGAAUUCUACUUUCGUUUUUGACUUGAUAUUAUUACUGCAUUGAACAUUCAUAUAUUUCUUUCGUACAAUGUACAUAUUGUAAAUAUUGUAUUUUUAUUUCUUUCAGUUUACCAAACAAUACACACUCUGUAAAAACUCCUGUACCAAUUCUGGUGGAAUUAUAAUCUACAAUCUUCACACACAAGUUGUUAUUCUUUAUAAUUUGCCGAGAUUGCGAUACAGUCCCAUGGUUAUACUAGCUGAGUCAGGCUCAGCAUAAUUUUU